AGAGUUUGAUCCUGGCUCAGGACGAACGCUUGCGGCGUGCCUAAGAAAUGCAAGUCGAACGGAGACUCCCGCAAGGGGGUUUCAGUGGCGAACGGUCGCGUAACACGUAAGCAACCUGCCUUCAAGUGGGGGAUAACAGUCCGAAAGGUCUGCUAAUACCGCAUGUGGCCCUCGCCUCUCCUGAGGCGUUGUCUAAAGAGGAAACUCGCUUGGAGAUGGGCUUGCGGCCUAUCAGGUAGUUGGUGGGGUAACGGCCUACCAAGCCGACGACGGGUAGCUGGUCUGAGAGGACGAUCAGCCGGAUUGGGACUGAGAUACGGCCCAGACUCCUACGGGGGGCAGCAAUUAGGAAUCUUGCGCAAUGGGGGCAACCCUGACGCAGCGACGCCGCGUGGAGGAUGAAGGCCUUCGGGUCGUAAACUUCUUUUAAGAGGGAAGAAAUUUGACGGUACCUCUGAAUAAGCCCC
rnacentral:rRNA from 1 species